rnacentral:tRNA from 1 species
AAAGGGAGACCUAAUUCAGGUAAAAGACGAAAAAAAAGUAGUCGCUACCAAGAAUCAAUCCCAAAAGGUCGGAGCGAGGCGAAAUUGGCUUUCAAACUAGGUUCUGGGUUCAAACAAGACCUGAAUCAGGAACAAGGGCUAUUAGCUCAGGUGGUUAGAGCGCACCCCUGAUAAGGAUGAGGUCCCUGGUUCGAGUCCAGGAUGGCCCACCUGCACAGGUGGCAAAAACAAGAGAAGCGAGGAAUCAGCACCUUAUCUUACUGACAUAGUAAGAGAGAAUGCUGGCUCUGAGUAAAGAGUCCAGAGGAACCUUGAAAACUGCAUAGAGCUAGGUGAAAAAGCCAAAAAAGAAGACCGCAAG